ensembl:lncRNA
AGUGUUUGUCACGUCCUGUUGGAAUCCAAACCGUGGGGUCUGCGCUGCAAUAUCCAGGUGAUAUAAAACUGUGAAGCAUGAAGACUGUGGUGACUUCUGGGUCCUUAAAACUGCAUCCGUGUUUGUGCAUGCAAAACUACUGACAAAGUAAUUUGCAGGAGAGAGGUAAGUUGUGUCUCUUAGUCCUGUUAUCUUCCCAUAUCUUUAAAAAGGGCUUUUUAGCAAGUGCAAAGUGAGGCAAUGAGGGGAAACCACUGAUGGGAACCAAACAAUUUUGGCAGCCAUUCCUUCUAAGUUUAUCAAAGCAGAAUUCAGCCUUGGGACCAUAAGCAUUACCACUGCUCCAUUGAAAAAGGCAGUGAGGAAGCAGUAACGAGUCUGCUCCUGGGUUCAGUCCUGCAAAGGUGCUUCUAAUUUAGCUACCACUCAACCCUGUGGUUCUAGUACGAGAAAGCUGGGCAGGUGAAAGAAAGUGCAUGCACAAAUGAUUUGCUGGUUUAGGGUCAGAUUGUUCUGUGCCUUUGAGAGCAAAAUCUUAUGUUAGCAGAAGGAGGAAAAGCUAGCAGGGCAGUGGAAACAUGGUUGGAACAGAUGUGAGUGAUCAGCUCACCCCCAAGAACCUCAGCUCAUCUUGGAGAGCCCCAACUAGCAGGGGACAGGUGUUGGUGGAUGGGGAGACAGAGCAGAGUGCGGUGAAAUGAAGUGGGGGAGGAGGGCCAGAGUGGUGAAUUCAGAACAGAUGUCAGGAAAUGCUUUUUCCUUCAGAAACUGCUCAGCAUGUGGAAUGGAUCCUGGCAGUAAUGCUGAUGCAAUGGUGCUGGGCCUGCUCCAGGAGCUGUCAAACGUGGGGGAGGUCCAGAAUGAAAACAAAGUGGAGGACAUUUGAUAUUUCUUUUGCAUCAAGUCCAGCGGAAAAGCUGAUCUUCCUUUUGCAUGCCUUUUUGGAUCACACUGAGCUAAUACAUUUUGUCGUGUGGCUUUGCAAGCAUAGG